rnacentral:rRNA from 1 species
GACGAACGCUGGCGGCGUGCUUAACACAUGCCAGUCGAACGGAAAGGCCUGCUUUCCCUUGUGGAUUGCGGGUACUCGAGUGGCGAACGGGUGAGUAACACGUGAGUGAUCUGCCCCCAACUUGGGUAUAAGCCUGGGAAACUGGGUCUAAUUCCCGAUAGGACUGCAGGGUGGUGCCUGUGGUGGAAAACGAUUUUCUAGUGGUUGGGGAUGAGCUCGCGGCCUAUCAGCUUGUUGGUGGGGUAAUGGCCUACCAAGGCGGCGACGGGUAGCCGGCCUGGGAGGGUGGACGGCCACAUUGGGACUGAGAUACGGCCCAGACUCCUACGGGAGGCAGCAGUGGGGAAUAUUGCACAAUGGGAGGAAGCCUGAUGCAGCGACGCCGCGUGGGGGAUGACGGCCUUCGGGUUGUAAACUCCUUUCGACCGCGAGGAAGCCACCUGGUUGGAAGGGUGGUGACGGUAGUGGUAGAAGAAGCACCGGCUAACUACGUG